AUCCAACUGACGAGUCCCAAAUAAAACGAAACUCACGUCCUGGAU
rfam:Schistosoma margrebowiei strain Zambia genome assembly, scaffold: SMRZ_contig0000011